rfam:marine gamma proteobacterium HTCC2148 scf_1106774214158 genomic scaffold, whole genome shotgun sequence.
CGAGUCGGUCAGACGAUCGCUUUCCGGUAUUUACCGGGGGGAGGAAAGUCCGGGCUCCAUAGGGCAGGGUGCCAGGUAACGCCUGGGGGGUGCGAGCCCACGGAAAGUGCAGCAGAAAGUAAACCGCCUUUGCGGUUCUUGUUUUCAAGACCAAAAAGGUAAGGGUGAAAUGGUGCGGUAAGAGCGCACCGCGCGGCUGGCAACAGGCGCGGCGAUGGUAAACCCCACCCGGAGCAAGACCAAAUAGGAAUCCUAUAGCCGUGGCCCACGGUGGAUUCGGGUAGGUCGCUUCAGGCAGCUGGUGACAGCUGUCGCAGAUGAAUGGUCGUCCACGACAGAACCCGGCUUAUCGACCGACUCACCUU